UUUUAAUUUGAUUAUUUACUCUUCUUUUAUAUUGUGAUUCUUUGUGGUGUGUUCUCACAGUCCAAACAAAGACACAUGUCUGUACAUGGCAGCUUGUUCAGCCUGCAUGUGCAUCUCCCUUUCACACACUGUGUUUUUUUGCAGGAGCAGUACACAAGCUCCAAGAUGCUGACCGGGGCUGGGGGAGGUGCCAUCCAGUCAAUCCCAAAGAAGUCUCCCUCAAUCUUCCAGCCAUGGGCCAUUGGCGGGGGGAUGUCUAGUUGAGCGGAGAACUCUAACCUUUGGUAACCCCAGAUGCUCAGCCCUGCUAUCAGACAUCUUCUGGACCUGACCUGACCCUGACCCACCUAACAUCGUUGAUGCCUUGAUGAUAUCGGGCAUAUAUUUUUCCAAAACACAUUUGAAGAAAAUGGCUUUGUAAUAAUGCCUUUGUAAUAAUAUUAAUAUAAUAAUAAAUAAUAUGCUAAAAUUG